UUCAGCUCUGAAAGUCCGGCCACCACACCUUGAAUUCCUACUCUCAUUUGGCUAAUGUAAAUAAUUGAUCAGGGAUAGAAAAGUUCUGAAGAAAAGCCUCCCCCUCUUGUACCCUCCUGUGGGGAAGAGUCUGGCUGCUGUCCAUCUCCCGGUGACCAGAGGAGGAAGAACCACCUAUUUUCAGAGCUACAACACAGGCUCACCGGUGACAUUCACGAUUCUAAAGGUGGCUUCCUGGCCUGGGUGAACCCAACUUGGAAACAGAUGAGGAAACAGGUUCAUAAGAACAAGAUCGGGGCGCCUGGGGGGCCCAGUCCGUUGAGCGUCCAACUUGGGCUUCAGGUCGUGAUCUCGCGGUCCAACAAGAUCAUCUGCUCAAGCGUGACGUCACCGGGAGUUGCCCGGCAUUGAGAUAGAGAACCGACAUCUUGACUCCAAAUCCGCCUCUGUUUCCCUCCAAAGACUCCACUCCAUUUCCCUGAGAUGUCUUCACUGAAACCCCUCCCUGCACACUUCGGAGAAUCCUCCAAACAACCUGUGUUCCACGAUGCUCAGAGGUUGGAGUUUCCCCGCGGGUGCACAUCCCACCCGCGGCCACGAGAUGGCAGGGUCGCCCCGACCACCGAGGGCUCCAUUCCUCGCGCCAGUAGGGGGCUGUCGUUCCUCGCUUCACAACGUGAGAAACGAAAACAAAAAAAGAAAAACAAAACAAAACAAUAAAACUUCAGUGUCCACGUUGAUGAAAUGAGGUGGUGGGAGGUUUGUUUUCCCUUUUCUUUCUUUUCUUUUUCUCUUUUAAGUCAGGCAGGGAGAGUUCAAACAAACAAGUCUCUCCAUUUUCACCACUGUGUUUGCUUUUCGAGGCACGAGGUCAGGACUUGGGCCAGCCGCCGAGCCUACAUUAUUCAUCUGUCCAGCGCCAGCCCUGGAACAAAUGGGAAGAAAUGAAGUAGCUUCAGUCGAAGGGAAACAGUGUUGUUAUUGUUGCUGGUGACAGUUCUAUUUGCCAACAAACAUAAAAACAUACUUUGGAACCCGGAAUGGGCUUGUCAGAGGGAACUUUUGUCCCAUGUUUGGGCUGGGAUGCUUCCAGAUAGAAAUCAGGCGGUGGGGGGAGAGCUGUGCCCGGCAGCCACUGACCCGAAUGCCAAGCCAUCAGCUGCCGGUCUCAUCUGGGUGUUAUGUGCCCACGGUCCACGAGGCUCCGUGUCGCCAGCCGGGGUCCCUGCCCUGAAUGGGUCUUACGGGAGAGGAGCGAGGGGCACGUAGUCCAGGAUGACGGGCUCUCCGCA